rnacentral:ribozyme from 1 species
GCUGCUCUUUAAAUAAUCACACACCUCUCCGUGGUGGGCAGCAGGCAACGAUCGCAUGGUCGGCGAAGAUGUGAGA